GACGAACGCUGGCGGCGUGCCUAACACAUGCAAGUCGAACGAGGUCCAAGGAAGCUUGCUUCCUGAAGACCUAGUGGCGAACGGGUGAGUAACACGUGAGAAACCUGCCUCGGAGUGGGGAAUAACUCGGGGAAACUCGAGCUAAUACCGCAUACCUUCACAUGAUCGCAUGGUCGAGUGAAAGAAAGAAUUUCGCUCUGAGAGGGUCUCGCGGCCUAUCAGCUUGUUGGUGGGGUAACGGCCUACCAAGGCAACGACGGGUAGCUGGUUUGAGAGAACGAUCAGCCACACUGGGACUGAGACACGGCCCAGACUCCUACGGGAGGCAGCAGUGGGGAAUCUUGCGCAAUGGGCGAAAGCCUGACGCAGCAACGCCGCGUGCGGGAUGACGGCCUUCGUGGUUGUAACCGCUUUCAGCAGGACGAAAGUAGACGGUACCUGCAGAAGAAGACCCCGGCGUAACUACGUGCCAGCAGCCG
rnacentral:rRNA from 1 species